rnacentral:rRNA from 1 species
AACGCGAAGAACCUUACCUGGGCUCGAAAUGUACAGGACAGCGGUAGAAAUAUCGUCUCCCAGCAAUGGGUCUGUAUAUAGGUGCUGCAUGGCUGUCGUCAGCUCGUGUCGUGAGAUGUUGGGUUAAGUCCCGCAACGAGCGCAACCCUUAUCUCCAGUUGCUACCAUUUAGUUGAGCACUCUGGCGAAACCGCCUCGGAUAACGGGGAGGAAGGUGGGGAUGACGUCAAGUCCUCAUGGCCUUUAUGUCCAGGGCUACACACGUGCUACAAUGGCCGGUACAAACCGCUGCAACCCCGCGAGGGUGAGCUAAUCGGAAAAAGCCGGCCUCAGUUCGGAUUGGAGUCUGCAACUCGACUCCAUGAAGCUGGAAUCGCUAGUAAUCGUGGAUCAGCAUGCCACGGUGAAUACGUUCCCGGGCCUUGUA